rnacentral:rRNA from 1 species
UACAGAGGGUGCAAGCGUUAAUCGGAAUUACUGGGCUUAAAGCGUGCGUAGCCGGUUAUGUAAGUCGGGUGUGAAAGCCCCGGGCUCAACCUGGGAAUUGCAUUCGAGACUGCAUAGCUAGGAUGCGGAAGAGGGAAGCGGAAUUUCCGGUGUAGCGGUGAAAUGCGUAGAUAUCGGAAGGAACACCAGUGGCGAAAGCGGCUUCCUGGUCCAGCAUCGACGUUCAGGCACGAAAGCGUGGGGAGCAAACAGG